rnacentral:rRNA from 1 species
GACGAACGCUGGCGGCGUGCCUAAUACAUGCAAGUCGAGCGCAGGAAAUCGACGGAACCCUUCGGGGGGAAGUCGACGGAAUGAGCGGCGGACGGGUGAGUAACACGUAAAGAACCUGCCCUCAGGUCUGGGAUAACCACGAGAAAUCGGGGCUAAUACCGGAUGGGUCAUCGGACCGCAUGGUCCGAGGAUGAAAGGCGCUCCGGCGUCGCCUGGGGAUGGCUUUGCGGUGCAUUAGCUAGUUGGUGGGGUAAUGGCCCACCAAGGCGACGAUGCAUAGCCGACCUGAGAGGGUGGUCGGCCACACUGGGACUGAGACACGGCCCAGACUCCUACGGGAGGCAGCAGUAGGGAAUCUUCCACAAUGGACGAAAGUCUGAUGGAGCAACGCCGCGUGAACGAUGAAGGCCUUCGGGUCGUAAAGUUCUGUUGUAAGGGAAGAACAAGUGCCGCAGGCAAUGGCGGCACCUUGACGGUACCUUGCGAGAAAGCCACAGCUAACUACGUGCCAGCAGCCGCCGUAACAC